rnacentral:misc_RNA from 1 species
UCUUUCCUCAAGGUCAAGUUAGGAAGUUCAGACUUCUCGCUUGGUCCACCUGCUGAUCCAUCAAGCAACACCGAGCUAUCGCAUCCCUGAGACGUUAUCCAGAAAAUAAUUCAUGUAAAUGAACAUGACAGCGACCAGAGGAGAGUCCUGGGGUAAUAAUUAACGUUAUUGUACUCUAAGCAGUUUAGUUGAGUCGCUUCUUAAUUUUGAAUUUAAUGGUUUUUUUAAAAAAGAAAAACAAAAAUUUAUGUACUUAGAUAAUAUAGUAAAAUAUCAAACAGAUUAUUAUUUUGAAUUCAACUAUGAGACAGUCAUGUCAUGCUUAGCAUACCAGGAGAAGAUCUCCAUUUUUUUCUUUUAAAAUUAAAAUAACAAUAAAUAAAUAAAAGGGUUUUAAGAAGGGAAAUAAAAAAGCGCUCAAGCAGGGGAGGCCAGGCCAAAAAUGGAAAGCAAAACAGAGUCAAGAAUCAGCCAAGGAAAUUACUUAGGCAGGCAUAUAUGUACGUACGCUACUGGCUUAUACAUAGGAACUGGCAAAGAGAAGAAAUGAUGGAUAAAAAUCAAGAACUAUUUCGAUCUACUCAGUGAAGGAUAAAUCAAGAAAAUUUAGCUUAAUCAAGAAAGAGAAUGGAAAGAUAGUCA